AGUUCGCAGAUGUCAUUAUUCUAAUAAUUGGUAUGGAAAGUUUCAAUCUUGCGAUAGUGUUUAUUUAUAGCAGCGCGUGCUCGCGAAUUUGAUAUGGUACUUUAUCCCAUUUCAUUUCCAUAUCGACACCUAUAUACGGGUUUAUUGUGUAUGAAUGCGUAAAGUGCGAAAAUUCGUGCAUCCGCAAUCCGAUUUCAAUAAGUGUGUAUGUGGAUAUAUAGACAGGUGGCUGCUUAUAUACAUCAGGGAUACGUGUCCAUGCGCGCAUAAUUUGCAGUUUAAUGAAAAGCGUGACAUUUUAUUGUAUUUAUUCAGCGAUUAUUUUAUAUGGGCGUUUAUAAGUAAUAAGCUGACAGCAGAAAACAUAGUCUACAUCAGAGUUGGACCCCGAUAUCAAACCUCAAUGGAGGAUUGCCUUCAUCAUCAUCAUGGUUAAACGGUCGCAAGCGCCGUAGCUUUAUUAUUAUAAUACCUAUAUAAUAUCUUAGAUUUAUUGAUGGGAAGUAGGUAGAGGAUAAUGCCGUUGCGAUAAAUAAGAUAACAUUGUGAAUAUUAUGUAUUACACCAACUUUAGCUAUAUCUAUAUUAAGAAAAGGCUUAUCAUAUAACCUUCAUAUCAAUUACAGCUAUUAAGAAAAGUUUCGUAUGGGGCUAAAUCAAUAUUUUUCUUGAAUCAAAGUUUAUGUGCCGAUAAUACCUGUGAUAAGGCAAGCUUCUUAAAUCAAAUUGAUACACUUGGGGGCAGCACCUUCAUAAUACGUGUAAGCAUACGAUUUAAAACAGAUGUGUUAUUAAUUCCUGCAAUCAAAGUGCUAGGAUAUAAAUUUUUAUUACUCUAGUUAGAAUAGUGCUGUUAUAUAAACUCUCACAAAUUUUGUUAAUUUUUCUUGGAUUUAAGUUUAUAUGGUGAUAAUACCCGUGCUAAGGCAGGCUUCUUAAUCCCGAACAGGAUAGAGAUGGACGUUGGGUGGGAGGAGGUGCCUCAAGACUUGUUUACGGGAGAAAGGAAGCUAACUUUAUGUACUGUUAAUAUCUAUGAUACGACACGCUUCUUAAAUCAAAUUGAUACACUUUGAGCAGUACCUUCAUAAUACGUGUAAGCGUACGAUUUAAAACAGAUGUGUUAUUAAUUCUAGCAAUCAAAGUUAUAGGAUAUAAAUUUUUUAUAGCUCGAGUUAAUGUAAUGCUAUAGAUUUCGCUGCUGUUUAAAGUUUAACAAGUUUUCGCAAUUUUUCUUGGGAACUAAGUUUAUGUGCUGAUAAUAUCUGUGAUAAGGCAAGCUUCUUAAUUCCAAACUAGGAUAGAGAUGCUUCUGGCGCCUUAAGACUUUUUACGAGAGAAAGGAUAACACCGUAUAGCAUUAUGGAUAAAUACCUAACCACUG